rnacentral:tRNA from 1 species
GGGCCAGUAGCUCAGUUGGCAGAGCCACCGGCUCAUAACCGGUCGGUCGUAGGUUCGAAUCCUGCCUGGCCUACCA